rnacentral:rRNA from 1 species
CCAGACUCCUACGGGAGGCAGCAGUCGGGAAUAUUGCGCAAUGGAGGAAACUCUGACGCAGUGACGCCGCGUAUAGGAAGAAGGUUUUCGGAUUGUAAACUAUUGUCGUUAGGGAAGAUAAAAGACAGUACCUAAGGAGGAAGCCCCGGCUAACUACGUGCCAGCAGCCGCGGUAAUACGUAGGGGGCAAGCGUUAUCCGGAUUUACUGGGUGUAAAGGGAGCGUAGACGGUAUGGCAAGUCUGAUGUGAAAACCCGGGGCUCAACCUCGGGACUGCAUUGGAAACUGUCGGACUAGAGUGUCGGAGAGGCAAGUGGAAUUCCUAGUGUAGCGGUGAAAUGCGUAGAUAUUAGGAGGAACACCAGUGGCGAAGGCGGCUUGCUGGACGAUGACUGACGUUGAGGCUCGAAAGCGUGGGGAGCAAACAGGAUUAGAUACCCCAGUAC